UAAACUUAACCUCAAUGUUAGGGUGCUUCU
rnacentral:piRNA from 1 species